UUGCUUGUCUCAAAGUUAAGCCAUGCAUGUCUAAGUAUAAGCAAUUAUACGGCGAAACUGCGAAUGGCUCAUUAAAUCAGUUAUCGUUCAUUUGAUAGUACCUUACUACUUGGAUAACCGUGGUAAUUCUAGAGCUAAUACAUGCUAAAAGUCCCGACUUCGGAAGGGACGUAUUUAUUAGAUUAAAAACCAAUGCCCUUCGGGGCUCACUGGUGAUUCAUGAUAACUUCUCGAAUCGCAUGGCCUUGCGCCGGCGAUGGUUCAUUCAAAUUUCUGCCCUAUCAACUUUCGAUGGCUGGGUCUUGGCCAGCCAUGGUGACAACGGGUAACGGAGGGUUAGGGCUCGACCCCGGAGAGGACGCCUGAGAAACGGCGUCCACAUCCAAGGAAGGCAGCAGGCGCGCAAAUUACCCAAUCCCGACACGGGGAGUAGUGACAAUAAAUACUGAUACAGGGCUCUUUUGGGUCUUGUAAUUGGAAUGAGUACAAUUUAAAUCCCUUAACGAGGAACAAUUGGAGGGCAAGUCUGGUGCCAGCAGCCGCGGUAAUUCCAGCUCCAAUAGCGUAUAUUAAAGUUGUUGCAGUUAAAAAGCUCGUAGUUGAACCUUGGGCCUGGCUGGCCGGUCCGCCUCACCGCGUGCACUGGUCCGGCCGGGCCUUUCCCUCUGGGGAGCCUCAUGCCCUUCACUGGGUGUGACGGGGAACCAGGACUUUUACUGUGAAAAAAUUAGAGUGUUCAAAGCAGGCCUAUGCUCGAAUACAUUAGCAUGGAAUAAUAGAAUAGGACGUGCGGUUCUAUUUUGUUGGUUUCUAGGACCGCCGUAAUGAUUAAUAGGGACAGUCGGGGGCAUCAGUAUUCAAUUGUCAGAGGUGAAAUUCUUGGAUUUAUUGAAGACUAACUACUGCGAAAGCAUUUGCCAAGGAUGUUUUCAUUAAUCAGGAACGAAAGUUAGGGGAUCGAAGACGAUCAGAUACCGUCGUAGUCUUAACCAUAAACUAUGCCGACUAGGGAUCGGACGAUGUUAUUUUUUGACUCGUUCGGCACCUUACACGAAAGUACAAGUUUUUGGUUCUGGGGGAGUAUGUCGCAAGGCUGAACUUAA
rnacentral:rRNA from 1 species